rnacentral:rRNA from 1 species
GGACGUGCUUGCACUGAUUUUAACAAUGAAGCGAGUGGCGAACUGGUGAGUAACACGUGGGAAAUCUGCCCAGAAGCAGGGGAUAACACUUGGAAACAGGUGCUAAUACCGUAUAACAACAAAAUCCGCAUGGAUUUUGUUUGAAAGGUGGCUUCGGCUAUCACUUCUGGAUGAUCCCGCGGCGUAUUAGUUAGUUGGUGAGGUAAAGGCCCACCAAGACGAUGAUACGUAGCCGACCUGAGAGGGUAAUCGGCCACAUUGGGACUGAGACACGGCCCAAACUCCUACGGGAGGCAGCAGUAGGGAAUCUUCCACAAUGGACGAAAGUCUGAUGGAGCAAUGCCGCGUGAGUGAAGAAGGGUUUCGGCUCGUAAAACUCUGUUGUUAAAGAAGAACACCUUUGAGAGUAACUGUUCAAGGGUUGACGGUAUUUAACCAGAAAGCCACGGGCUAACUACGUGCCAGCAGCCGCGGUAAUACGUAGGUGGCAAGCGUUGUCCGGAUUUAUUGGGCGUAAAGCGAGCGCAGGCGGGUUUUUUAAGUCUGAUGUGAAAG